AAAUAAUUCUGUAAAAUAUCAUAAAGAGUAGAUAUUUCACUAGAUAAUCCUAAUAAUAUUUUACAGCUUAUGUGGCCUGCAACUUCCUAAUACUCUAGAGUAUUUAUGAAGACAACUGGGAAUUAAUUUACUAAGUAUUGAGUUUAAAACCACUAACGCAUAUUCCAUUACUAAAGUAGUAUCAGUACAAGUGAAAAAAAAAUUGAAGAGAGUUUCAAGAUGCAAAUGACAGUUAAAAAAAAUCACCAUAUACUGUGAUGGAAUGGUAAUAAUAUGAAUGAAUAUCUAUUGGUAUAUCCUAGCAAUUUUAAAAGUCUGUUUUGGUAAACAGAAUAGACACAUUUAAUCCACAUCUGUCAGAUUCAGACUUGAACAACUAAAGGAAAAACUACAGGCAAUGAUUUUACUCUUUUUAUAUUUAUAAGGAAAUGUUAUAUGGAUCAAUUUGUAAGCUUCUUUUUUUUAUAAGAUAAGAUACACCUUUUUUUUUUUUUUUUUAAUAAAACAGGCUUUUCCUCUACAUUUGACAUUUAGUUUGCACAUGUUUUUUGUUUUAUUUUUUAGGCUCAAUUUUCCUACAUAAUUAAGUUUGAAGUUUGGGCAAUGUCAAGAACCACAUCUGUACUGAAAUCAAUUAUCUGUGUUUGAAACACAAGAAAUAAGAAGACCAUUUUGAGAAGAACAGAGAGUAGCCUUAAGAAAAUCCCUGUCGCAUGCACUCUGGGAUUUGGACUCAAAUCCUAAUUAUACAGUCUAUAAUGAUGACUGGAAUAGGAAAUUCGGACAGCACAAGUGGUCGCUUCUUAGGCUUCCUGCCAGAUUUUGAAAACCACUAUAACAAGUCGUUUCUGCCAAGACUUAAUUAUGCCCUGCUAUUCAGAGUGGUCCACAGAACCAACAACAAUGGCAUCACCUAG
rnacentral:lncRNA from 1 species